UGCAAGUCGAGCGGAUGAGAGGAGCUUGCUCCUGGAUUCAGCGGCGGACGGGUGAGUAAUGCCUAGGAAUCUGCCUGGUAGUGGGGGACAACGUUUCGAAAGGAACGCUAAUACCGCAUACGUCCUACGGGAGAAAGCAGGGGACCUUCGGGCCUUGCGCUAUCAGAUGAGCCUAGGUCGGAUUAGCUAGUUGGUGAGGUAAUGGCUCACCAAGGCGACGAUCCGUAACUGGUCUGAGAGGAUGAUCAGUCACACUGGAACUGAGACACGGUCCAGACUCCUACGGGAGGCAGCAGUGGGGAAUAUUGGACAAUGGGCGAAAGCCUGAUCCAGCCAUGCCGCGUGUGUGAAGAAGGUCUUCGGAUUGUAAAGCACUUUAAGUUGGGAGGAAGGGUUGUAGAUUAAUACUCUGCAAUUUUGACGUUACCGACAGAAUAAGCACCGGCUAACUCUGUGCCAGCAGCCGCGGUAAUACAGAGGGUGCAAGCGUUAAUCGGAAUUACUGGGCGUAAAGCGCGCGUAGGUGGUUUGUUAAGUUGGAUGUGAAAUCCCCGGGCUCAACCUGGGAACUGCAUCCAAAACUGGCAAGCUAGAGUAUGGUAGAGGGUGGUGGAAUUUCCUGUGUAGCGGUGAAAUGCGUAGAUAUAGGAAGGAACACCAGUGGCGAAGGCGACCACCUGGACUGAUACUGACACUGAGGUGCGAAAGCGUGGGGAGCAAACAGGAUUAGAUACCCUGGUAGUCCACGCCGUAAACGAUGUCAACUAGCCGUUGGGAGCCUUGAGCUCUUAGUGGCGCAGCUAACGCAUUAAUUUGAC
rnacentral:rRNA from 1 species